UACGUAGGGACCAAGCGUUGUUCGGAUUUACUGGGCGUAAAGGGCGCGUAGGCGGCCUUCUAAGUCGAACGUGAAAUCCCCGGGCUCAACCCGGGAACUGCGUCCGAUACUGGAAGGCUUGAAUCCGGGAGAGGGAUGCGGAAUUCCAGGUGUAGCGGUGAAAUGCGUAGAUAUCUGGAGGAACACCGGUGGCGAAGGCGGCAUCCUGGACCGGCAUUGACGCUGAGGCGCGAAAGCUAGGGGAGCAAACGGG
rnacentral:rRNA from 1 species